rnacentral:rRNA from 1 species
GGCGACGACGGGUAGCCGGCCUGAGAGGGCGACCGGCCACACUGGGACUGAGACACGGCCCAGACUCCUACGGGAGGCAGCAGUGGGGAAUAUUGCACAAUGGGCGGAAGCCUGAUGCAGCGACGCCGCGUGAGGGAUGAAGGCCUUCGGGUUGUAAACCUCUUUCGACAGGGACGAAGCGCAAGUGACGGUACCUGGAGAAGAAGCGCCGGCCAACUACGUGCCAGCAGCCGCGGUAAGACGUAGGGCGCGAGCGUUGUCCGGAUUUAUUGGGCGUAAAGAGCUCGUAGGCGGCUUGUUGCGUCAGCUGUGAAAACCCGCAGCUCAACUGUGGGCUUGCAGCUGAUACGGGCAGGCUUGAGUUCGGUAGGGGAGACUGGAAUUCCUGGUGUAGCGGUGAAAUGCGCAGAUAUCAGGAGGAACACCGGUGGCGAAGGCGGGUCUCUGGGCCGAUACUGACGCUGAGGAGCGAAAGCGUGGGGAGCGAACAGGAUUAGAUACCCUGGUAGUCCACGCUGUAAACGUUGGGCGCUAGGUGUGGGGGGCCUCUCCGGUUCUCUGUGCCGCAGCUAACGCAUUAAGCGCCCCGCCGG